rnacentral:rRNA from 1 species
GACGAACGCUGGCGGCGUGCCUAAUACAUGCAAGUAGAACGCUGAAGGAGGAGCUUGCUUCUCUGGAUGAGUUGCGAACGGGUGAGUAACGCGUAGGUAACCUGCCUGGUAGCGGGGGAUAACUAUUGGAAACGAUAGCUAAUACCGCAUAAUAGUAGAUGUCGCAUGACAUUUGCUUAAAAGGUGCAAUUGCAUCACUACCAGAUGGACCUGCGUUGUAUUAGCUAGUUGGUGAGGGAACGGCUCACCAAGGCAACGAUACAUAGCCGACCUGAGAGGGUGAUCGGCCACACUGGGACUGAGACACGGCCCAGCCUCCUACGGGAGGCAGCAGUAGGGAAUCUUCGGCCAUGGACGGAAGUCUGACCGAGCAACGCCGCGUGAGUGAAGAAGGUUUUCGGAUCGUAAAGCUCUGUUGUACGAGAAGAACGAGUGUGAGAGUGGAAAGUUCACACUGUGACGGUAUCUUACCAGAAAGGGACGGCUAACUACGUG